GAGGGUACAGCUCAGUGGUAGAGUGCAUGCCUAGCACGCACAAGGUCCUGAGUUCAAUCCCCAGUACCUCCA
rnacentral:tRNA from 1 species